rnacentral:tmRNA from 1 species
UGCCAACGACGACAACUACGCUCUCGCCGCUUAAGGCGUAAGCCCCGAACCCACUUGUGCCCGUGCUCGUGGAUGUAGGGUCAUUAUCACGGAACCGGCCGUGACGGCUGCCUGUCAGUCACGGCUUAACCAAAACAGGCUGGUCCUGGGGUGCGCUUUGCACACCGUGCUGCCACAGGACGAGACCCAACGGUGAGCUAAGCAUGUAGUGCCGGGGAUGGAGUGCCUUCGGACGGCGGUUCAAUUCCGCCCACCUCCACCA